rnacentral:rRNA from 1 species
GACGAACGCUGGCGGCGUGCUUAACACAUGCAAGUCGAACGGAGUGGCGAACGGGUGAGUAACACGUGGGUGACCUGCCCUGCACUUCGGGAUAAGCCUGGGGAACUGGGUCUAAUACCGGAUAGUGUGGGUUGGGCACGCGGGCGAUCAGCUUGUUGGUGGGGUAAUGGCCUACCAAGGCGGCGACGGGUAGCCGGCCUGAGAGGGUGGACGGCCACAUGGGGACUGAGACACGGGCCAGACGGCUACGGGAGGCAGCAGUGGGGAAUAUUGCGCAAUGGGCGGACGCCUUAUACAGCGACGCCGGGUGGGGGAUGACUGCCUUCGGGUUGUAAACUCCUUGCACCAUCUACGCGGUAGAUGUAGAAGAAGCACCGGCUAACUACGUGCCAGCAGCCGCGGUAAUUC